GACGGAUACGCUUUAAACCCACUAUAUUCACUUGCUCAUUGUAAUUUAUCAGAUCAAUCAACUUAACUCAGAAUAGGAAAUGACUGACAUUAGAUAUUCCUCUAAAGGGGCACUGUUCAAAUACUGUUUAAGAACAUCAAGAUAUGAAUUAGCAGGGAGACAAGACCACCAACCAAUCUUUGAUGUACUGCUAAUAACAGGGAGGUGGGAGGGCAGGGGGUGGUUCAAAUAGGAUGACAAGAGUUCACAGCUUAGAAGGUAAAACAUCUUACUAUCUACAAUACUACCACAGUUCCCAAAUUGUGCAUGCAGCACCCCAGGGAACUCACAGGGGUACUGCAGAGCAUUUUAAAUUUUGAGAAACACAGUGCUGUCAGACAGUGUGCAAAUUACUAGCUUGUGGUAUUUCACAGUUCAAUACGACAUCAUGCAAAAUUAUUGUUCAUGAUAUUCCAUCUCUUCGAAAUUGAGUUUUUGAUGGUUGCGGUGUAUCUUAGUCUAUUCAAGCCGCUGUAACAAAAUAUCAUAAACUAGGUAGCUUAUAAACAACAACAGAAUGCCAAUUAUCAGACUCUCCAGAUCAACCAAUAUUCUUUCUCCCUUCCAAUAAAUUGGCUGACACCCAGGCAUAUUGAAAGAUAGCAACUCAGAGACAACCGAAGACUCUUUUGGCUGCUUAACCAGUUGUGCUUCCAACUGUUUUUCAUGUAUCUUGCCUUCGCAGAGUGCCUUAAAGACUAUCUCUAAACCUCAGAGGUAGGUGCUGAUUAGAUUAAGCCAAGAACGAUAAUCCCACUUUCCCUCCUCAAUGACUUGGCACGGGACUCUGUCUAGCCUAACAGAUGUUGAGUAAAAGUCUAAUGUUGGGGGAGGCUGGAUAUCAGGACUUCUGAGGAACAUUUUCAAAUAUCUAAGGAAGAGACCUAGGAACACUCAAAAGGAUGGCAUCACUUGACACCAGCCUGAGGACAAAAAUCAACAGAUAGUUCAAUGCCAGUACAUCUGGUCAGUGGAUAUUUUUAAAAUCUUGGCUGUAGUUGUAUUUACACCUCCUGUGUUUUCCUUUUAUAGACUAUGUUUUUUCACCACAAUACAAUAAUACUGUGAACUCCACAACAAAUACCUCUCUCCCAACUCCCAAUUUUAUGAAAUGAAACCACCACACCCUAAAUAGGUUAAAAAGAAACACUCAGGAAUCCAGAGACUUCAUCAUACACGAGAAAAAAAAAAUCUAGAUAUAUAUCAAACCUUGGAUAUAGCUAAUGGAACUACUCAGGAGGCUGAGGCAGGAGAAUCACUUGAACCCAGGAGGUGGGGGUUGCAGUGAGCCGAGAUCAUGCCAUUGCACUCCCGCCUGGGCAACAAGAGUGAAACACUCUCUCAAAAAAAAAAAAAAAAAAAUUGUGGGGUUGUUCACAUUCUAAAAAAAUCUCAUUAGGGAUUUAUGACAUGGUGUUCCAAAUUAACCACAAAAUUGUAAAUAGUUACCCAAAUUAUAUCCUAGUAACAAUUUAGGGGGGAAAAUAAAAAUGAAAAUGCAUUCUGAGUUACAUAAGAGCAUGUUUACUCUUCACAAAGCCAUAUUUAUUAUACUUCCACCAAAAGCCAUUUUUUUUUAAGUCUGUAGACAUAUGAUAAAGGACUUUUAGUGGACUUGGAAGCAUUUUUCACAAUGGGCUAGAAUACUGAAGUUGAAUGUUAUGUAGGAAACCCACAUAAAUUAAUAUAAAAUUAUUUUACACUUGAAAAAGAAAACAAUAUGUUGUACAGUAUAGCUAUAAACAAAUAGCAUUGGUGGGUCUGGGACUAGUUAAAAUUAUGAAGCAAAGUUUAUAUCUACAAUCAACUAUCCCUUGGGACUCCUCCUCAGUUUUGCUUAACUCUCUCAUUCUGCUCCCCUUUUUUCUGCCCUGAUAUUCAGUGCUUUUAUGCGGCCCACCCUAUAGAAAUUUCUUUAUUUUCUUGUGACCUGA
rnacentral:lncRNA from 1 species